rnacentral:rRNA from 1 species
UACAGAGGUCCCAAGCGUUGUUCGGAUUCAUUGGGCGUAAAGGGUGCGUAGGUGGCGCCGUAAGUCGGGUGUGAAAUCUCGGAGCUUAACUCCGAAACUGCAUUCGAUACUGCCGUGCUUGAGGACUGGAGAGGAGACUGGAAUUUACGGUGUAGCGGUGAAAUGCGUAGAUAUCGUAAGGAAGACCAGUGGCGAAGGCGGGUCUCUGGACAGUUCCUGACGCUGAGGCACGAAGGCCAGGGGAGCAAACGGG